rnacentral:snoRNA from 1 species
UCCUUCCAGACCAGGCGCCCUUCAGGUCUAAACAUUAGUCUGAGUGGAUGUAAAAGGAGGAAGAGUUAAUCGGAAGCCGACUGUGAUUUUUUAAUGACAUACAAGUUCAUUUCAGACAAAC